UACAUGUGGGGCAAGCGUUGUUCGGAAUUACUGGGCAUAAAGGGUGCGUAGGCGGCCUGUUAAGUCGAACGUGAAAUCCCCGGGCUCAACCCGGGAACUGCGUCCGAUACUGGCAGGCUUGAAUUCGGGAGAGGGAUGCGGAAUUCCAGGUGUAGCGGUGAAAUGCGUAGAUAUCUGGAGGAACACCGGUGGCGAAGGCGGCAUCCUGGACCGAGAUUGACGCUGAGGCGCGAAAGCCAGGGGAGCAAACGGG
rnacentral:rRNA from 1 species